rnacentral:rRNA from 1 species
GACGAACGCUGGCGGCGUGCUUAACACAUGCAAGUCGUACGGUAAGGCCCUUUCGGGGGUCCACGAGUGGCGAACGGGUGAGUAACACGUGAGUAACCUGCCCACAACUUUGGGAUAACGCUAGGAAACUGGUGCUAAUACUGGAUAUGUGCCCCUGCUGCAUGGUGGGGGUUGGAAAGCUCCGGCGGUUGUGGAUGGACUCGCGGCCUAUCAGCUUGUUGGUGAGGUAGUGGCCUACCAAGGCGGCGACGGGUAGCCGGCCUGAGAGGGUGACCGGCCACAUUGGGACUGAGAUACGGCCCAGACUCCUACGGGAGGCAGCAGUGGGGAAUAUUGCACAAUGGGCGCAAGCCUGAUGCAGCAACGCCGCGUGCGGGAUGACGGCCUUCGGGUUGUAAACCGCUUUCAGCAGGGACGAAGCUUUUUGUGACGGUACCUGCAGAAGAAGCACCGGCUAACUACGUG